UACGAAGGGGGCUAGCGUUGCUCGGAAUCACUGGGCGUAAAGCGCACGUAGGCGGGUCGUUAAGUCAGGGGUGAAAUCCUGGAGCUCAACUCCAGAACUGCCCUUGAUACUGGCGAUCUCGAGUUCGGGAGAGGUGAGUGGAACUGCGAGUGUAGAGGUGAAAUUCGUAGAUAUUCGCAAGAACACCAGUGGCGAAGGCGGCUCACUGGCCCGAUACUGAUGCUGAGGUGCGAAAGCGUGGGGAGCAAACAGG
rnacentral:rRNA from 1 species